GUAGGUGAACCUGCGGAAGGAUCAUUACUAGAGCAAAGGAUAGACAGCGCCCCACAGGAGCUUGCUCCGUGGCGGGCUACCCCUUAGCGGUGUACUCCGCGGGGGUUUAGAGUCGUCGAACCUCUCGAAGAAGUUCGGUCCCAAACUCCACCCUUGAAUAAAUUACCUUUGUUGCUUUGGCAGGCCGCCUCGUGCCAGCGGCUUCGGCUGUUGAGUGCCUGCCAGAGGACCACAACUCUUGUUUUUAGUGAUGUCUGAGUACUAUAUAAUAGUUAAAACUUUCAACAACGGAUCUCUUGGUUCUG
rnacentral:misc_RNA from 1 species